rnacentral:siRNA from 1 species
ACAUCAGCAAUAUCGUCACGACGG